AACGAACGCUGGCGGCAGGCUUAACACAUGCAAGUCGAACGCCCCGCAAGGGGAGUGGCAGACGGGUGAGUAACGCGUGGGAACGUACCUUUCAGUUCGGAAUAACUCAGGGAAACUUGUGCUAAUACCGGAUACGCCCGCAAGGGGAAAGAUUUAUCGCUGAAAGAUCGGCCCGCGUUGGAUUAGCUAGUUGGUGGGGUAAAGGCCUACCAAGGCGACGAUCCAUAGCUGGUCUGAGAGGAUGAUCAGCCACACUGGGACUGAGACACGGCCCAGACUCCUACGGGAGGCAGCAGUGGGGAAUAUUGGACAAUGGGCGCAAGCCUGAUCCAGCCAUGCCGCGUGUGUGAUGAAGGCCUUAGGGUUGUAAAGCACUUUCACCGAUGAAGAUAAUGACUGUACCGGGAGAAUAAGCCCCGGCUAACUUCGUG
rnacentral:rRNA from 1 species